rnacentral:rRNA from 1 species
GGUUAAGCGACUAAGCGUACACGGUGGAUGCCCUGGCAGUCAGAGGCGAUGAAGGACGUGCUAAUCUGCGAAAAGCGUCGGUAAGGUGAUAUGAACCGUUAUAACCGGCGAUGUCCGAAUGGGGAAACCCAGUGCAAUUCGUUGCACUAUCGUUAACUGAAUACAUAGGUUAACGAGGCGAACCGGGGGAACUGAAACAUCUAAGUACCCCGAGGAAAAAAAAUCAACCGAGAUUCCCCCAGUAGCGGCGAGCGAACGGGGAGCAGCCCAGAGUCUGAAUCAGCUUGUGUGUUAGUGGAACGGUCUGGAAAGUCCGACGGUACAGGGUGAUAGUCCCGUACACCAAAAUGCACAGGCUGUGAACUCGAAGAGUAGGGCGGGACACGUGGUAUCCUGUCUGAAUAUGGGGGGACCAUCCUCCAAGGCUAAAUACUCCUGACUGACCGAUAGUGAACCAGUACCGUGAGGGAAAGGCGAAAAGAACCCCGGCGAGGGGAGUGAAAAAGAACCUGAAACCGUGUACGUACAAGCAGUGGGAGCACCUUCGGGUGUGACUGCGUACCUUUUGUAUAAUGGGUCAGCGACUUAUAUUCUGUAGCAAGGUUAACCGUAUAGGGGAGCCGCAGGGAAACCGAGUCUUAACUGGGCGUUAAGUUGCAGGGUAUAGACCCGAAACCCGGUGAUCUAGCCAUGGGCAGGUUGAAGGUUGGGUAACACUAACUGGAGGACCGAACCGACUAAUGUUGAAAAAUUAGCGGAUGACUUGUGGCUGGGGGUGAAAGGCCAAUCAAACCGGGAGAUAGCUGGUUCUCCCCGAAAGCUAUUUAGGUAGCGCCUCGUGAAUUCAUCUUCGGGGGUAGAGCACUGUUUCGGCUAGGGGGUCAUCCCGACUUACCAACCCGAUGCAAACUACGAAUACCGAAGAAUGUUAUCACGGGAGACACACGGCGGGUGCUAACGUCCGUCGUGAAGAGGGAAACAACCCAGACCGCCAGCUAAGGUCCCAAAGUCAUGGUUAAGUGGGAAACGAUGUGGGAAGGCACAGACAGCCAGGAUGUUGGCUUAGAAGCAGCCAUCAUUUAAAGAAAGCGUAAUAGCUCACUGGUCGAGUCGGCCUGCGCGGAAGAUGUAACGGGGCUAAACCAUGCACCGAAGCUGCGGCAGCGACACUAUGUGUUGUUGGGUAGGGGAGCGUUCUGUAAGCCUGCGAAGGUGACCUGUGAGGGUUGCUGGAGGUAUCAGAAGUGCGAAUGCUGACAUAAGUAACGAUAAAGCGGGUGAAAAGCCCGCUCGCCGGAAGACCAAGGGUUCCUGUCCAACGUUAAUCGGGGCAGGGUGAGUCGACCCCUAAGGCGAGGCCGAAAGGCGUAGUCGAUGGGAAACAGGUUAAUAUUCCUGUACUUGGUGUUACUGCGAAGGGGGGACGGAGAAGGCUAUGUUAGCCGGGCGACGGUUGUCCCGGUUUAAGCAUGUAGGCUGGUUAUCCAGGCAAAUCCGGAUAAUCAAGGCUGAGGUGUGAUGACGAGGCACUACGGUGCUGAAGUAACAAAUGCCCUGCUUCCAGGAAAAGCCUCUAAGCAUCAGGUAACAUCAAAUCGUACCCCAAACCGACACAGGUGGUCAGGUAGAGAAUACCAAGGCGCUUGAGAGAACUCGGGUGAAGGAACUAGGCAAAAUGGUGCCGUAACUUCGGGAGAAGGCACGCUGGUGUGUAGGUGAAGUCCCUGCGGAUGGAGCUGAGACCAGUCGAAGAUACCAGCUGGCUGCAACUGUUUAUUAAAAACACAGCACUGUGCAAACACGAAAGUGGACGUAUACGGUGUGACGCCUGCCCGGUGCCGGAAGGUUAAUUGAUGGGGUUAUCCGUAAGGAGAAGCUCUUGAUCGAAGCCCCGGUAAACGGCGGCCGUAACUAUAACGGUCCUAAGGUAGCGAAAUUCCUUGUCGGGUAAGUUCCGACCUGCACGAAUGGCGUAAUGAUGGCCAGGCUGUCUCCACCCGAGACUCAGUGAAAUUGAACUCGCUGUGAAGAUGCAGUGUACCCGCGGCAAGACGGAAAGACCCCGUGAACCUUUACUAUAGCUUGACACUGAACAUUGAGCCUUGAUGUGUAGGAUAGGUGGGAGGCUUUGAAGCGUGGACGCCAGUCUGCGUGGAGCCGACCUUGAAAUACCACCCUUUAAUGUUUGAUGUUCUAACGUUGGCCCCUUACCGGGGUUGCGGACAGUGUCUGGUGGGUAGUUUGACUGGGGCGGUCUCCUCCCAAAGCGUAACGGAGGAGCACGAAGGUUAGCUAAUCCUGGUCGGACAUCAGGAGGUUAGUGCAAUGGCAUAAGCUAGCUUGACUGCGAGCGUGACGGCGCGAGCAGGUGCGAAAGCAGGUCAUAGUGAUCCGGUGGUUCUGAAUGGAAGGGCCAUCGCUCAACGGAUAAAAGGUACUCCGGGGAUAACAGGCUGAUACCGCCCAAGAGUUCAUAUCGACGGCGGUGUUUGGCACCUCGAUGUCGGCUCAUCACAUCCUGGGGCUGAAGUAGGUCCCAAGGGUAUGGCUGUUCGCCAUUUAAAGUGGUACGCGAGCUGGGUUUAGAACGUCGUGAGACAGUUCGGUCCCUAUCUGCCGUGGGCGCUGGAGAAUUGAGGGGGGCUGCUCCUAGUACGAGAGGACCGGAGUGGACGCAUCACUGGUGUUCGGGUUGUCAUGCCAAUGGCACUGCCCGGUAGCUAAAUGCGGAAGAGAUAAGUGCUGAAAGCAUCUAAGCACGAAACUUGCCCCGAGAUGAGUUCUCCCUGAGACUUUAAGUCUCCUGAAGGAACGUUAAAGACGAUGACGUUGAUAGGCCGGGUGUGUAAGCGCAGCGAUGCGUUGAGCUAACCGGUACUAAUGAACCGUGAGGCUUAACCUU